CAGUCCCGCGGGAAUACGAAGGGUGCAAGCGUUACUCGGAAUUACUGGGCGUAAAGCGUGCGUAGGUGGCGGUUUAAGUCCGUUGUGAAAGCCCUGGGCUCAACCUGGGAAUUGCAGUGGAUACUGGGUCACUAGAGUGUGGUAGAGGAUAGUGGAAUUUCCGGUGUAGCAGUGAAAUGCGUAGAGAUCGGAAGGAACAUCUGUGGCGAAGGCGACUAUCUGGGCCAACACUGACACUGAGGCACGAAAGCGUGGGGAGCAAACAGGAUUAGAUACCCGGGUAGUCCCUGUCUCUUAUACA
rnacentral:rRNA from 1 species